rnacentral:rRNA from 1 species
GCUAGUAAGACCCCUGGAAGACUACCAGGUUGAUAGGUUGGAGGUGUAAGUGCAGUAAUGCAUUCAGCUGACCAAUACUAAUAGGUCGAGGGCUUGAUCAA